ensembl:lncRNA
AUGGGGUCUCUACCACACUGGAAUUGGCUCAUGCCCAGUGACUCAAAGAAUGACUCAGACUCAUCAGCUCAGGUCAUGUGCCCACCCCUAGAUGAACUCACUGUGGCCAUGAGAACACGUGGCCAAGAGAGUACAGUGCCUCGGAUGAGCAUAAUAGCAGGGAAUGAGAAUACGAGCUAUCUUUACUCUACCAGAGAUAUAUAUGAGAAAGACCCUAAGAUUGAAGAAGACUCGUCCCAAGGAAGGUUUCUCUUCUGGGUACAACUGAAACAAAUUCAAACUGCAGCGGAUUCGAGAAGGUCAGUAGGGAUAUUUGUGUCUUACUCCUGCUUUUCUGGAGUAAUGCCCUACUCUGGCUGGCAGUGCAGAUUUCUGAUCAGCCCUGUGCUUCAGUCCACUUGUGGUCUGAGAACAGAUUAAGGUGUUAGCCCUCCUGGAUUUACUUGUAUUUUAAUAAUGAAUUCAAAGGAUCAGGUAACAUUGAGAACCGAGAGCCUGAAACCAUCUCGCUGGAAGGCAGCUCCUGUCCUCCCUGUGGUUCUCUCUCCUUACCAGAGGCCUUUGAUGGAGGGUGUACACUCUUUAGCCUCCUGGAAAGCGUAAGGUGCAUUUUCUGCUCACAGAUGCUUACACUGCAAGACUCCGAAGGUUAAAGAGUCAGAUGAUUAUAGUUCAUAAACCACCAAAUGCAAUUAAAUGACAGUGUCUCUCACACACACAAAAAAAAAAUUGUCAAGAGACGUUUAUGCCACCCUGAAAUGUAUUAAGUUACUAAAGCAUAUAAAAACAACAUUUCAACUAAUAUCAUUUUGCAGUGUCAGGACAUAGAUAUAUAGAGAAAGUUCAUAAUUUUGUAGUUAAUUAACGUGCUGUAAAAGGCAGGUUUCUCCAUAAUUGAAUAACAGCCUGUUCUAAGAACUGAGUCUUUCAACAGGCUUUGGGUCAUAAGUUUGAAUAGCCUUGGUCUGAUUAGUAUAAAACAUACCUGCUAAUGCCUUUUUAAAAAAAUUUUACACAGAUACGGGUGGUUUAACAGAGUGUAUAAAUGUCAGGGAAGUCCUUUGGUUAUGAACAAUGAGUCACAAAAUGGUUAUGGAUGUCAUAGGUUAUUUAUUGUGGUUCUAGGGGCAUUUUGAAAGUGUGGUCAUUAACAUAACAUGGUUGUGAAUCUUUCUGGUUUCUGUGUCUGAAGAAUUAAACGGGAAAAGGCCAUCAAAGCACUUUUCACUUUCAUGCUUGACUCCAUAAAGGAAUCCUACAUAAGAUAAGUCCAAAUUUUAUGGCAUAAGUUUUGGGGGUCGUUAGUAUUUUAUGAAGAUGCUUAGCCUCCAGGAUUACAAAGAUGGGCAGGGAUACACAACGAAAAAUCAAGCCGCUGCUUUAUUUUGAAUGAUCCAGAUUUAAAAAGGUAAUGCAGUUCCCUGCUAGCUUUCAGAUACAUCUGGUUUGCCAAGCACUGUGCAUCCACUGUCUCAUUUAAUGCAUUAAAACAAGCCAUGAACAGGGUAUUCACAUCCCCAUUUGACAGUUGAAAACUUUGAGGCUCGUGGAGGCUAAUUUUCCUACUUUUAAGCUCAGGGUUUCCUAAAUGCAAAGCCCACACAUUUCCCUCAAUGCCACAGUGCGACUCUACUAAUGGAAACAGUAUGGAAGAGACAGUAUUAAUAAUUUAAUUUGACUCGUUUGCCAGCUGUUUUCCAGGUGGUUACCAGCUUUUUACUACAUAGUUGAUUAAGCUGGCCACGCUUGGCUUACAAUAGUGUUCCUCAAGCAGUUUGCAUCUGUGCUCUGGGUUUACGAGGGGUAUUGACCGCUACCAGUCUCCCCUGCUCCUAACAAUAAAACAAAAAAACAAGACCUGAGCUGAAUACCU